AGCACGGGGGCAACCCUGGUGGCGAGCGGCGAACGGGUGAGUAACACAUCGGAACAUGCCCAGUCGUGGGGGAUAACACUUCGAAAGAAGUGCUAAUACCGCAUACGUCCUGAGGGAGAAAGCGGGGGACCGCAAGACCUCGCGCGAUUGGAGUGGCCGAUGUCAGAUUAGCUAGUUGGUGGGGUAAAGGCCUACCAAGGCAACGAUCUGUAGCUGGUCUGAGAGGAUGAUCAGCCACACUGGGACUGAGACACGGCCCAGACUCCUACGGGAGGCAGCAGUGGGGAAUUUUGGACAAUGGGGGCAACCCUGAUCCAGCCAUUCCGCGUGAGUGAAGAAGGCCUUCGGGUUGUAAAGCUCUUUCGGCAGGAACGAAACG
rnacentral:rRNA from 1 species